AAACUUAUUUUCUUAAAUAAAACUUGUAAUUGAAUUUAACUAUACUUGACUUAAACUUUCAAAAAGCCAAAAAGAACUAACUCAUUCACACCAUUUUAGGCCUUUGUGCCUUUCAAACUUAAAUUUUGUUAAAAACCAACACACUUAUUUUGAAAUUUAUAGCAUGAACUACGAGGUUUUGAUCCCUCAUUUAUAUGUUGGUACGUAGGGACGAGACCGAAGGUCUUAUCAGACACAAAAAUAUAAUUAAUGAAUUCUUUU
rnacentral:lncRNA from 1 species